rnacentral:rRNA from 1 species
GGCACUACGGUGCUGAAGCAACAAAUGCCCUGCUUCCAGGAAAAGCCUCUAAGCAUCAGGUAACAUCAAAUCGUACCCCAAACCGACACAGGUGGUCAGGUAGAGAAUACCAAGGCGCUUGAGAGAACUCGGGUGAAGGAACUAGGCAAAAUGGUGCCGUAACUUCGGGAGAAGGCACGCUGAUAUGUAGGUGAAGUCCCUCGCGGAUGGAGCUGAAAUCAGUCGAAGAUACCAGCUGGCUGCAACUGUUUAUUAAAAACACAGCACUGUGCAAACACGAAAGUGGACGUAUACGGUGUGACGCCUGCCCGGUGCCGGAAGGUUAAUUGAUGGGGUUAGCGCAAGCGAAGCUCUUGAUCGAAGCCCCGGUAAACGGCGGCCGUAACUAU